UACGUAGGGUGCAAGCGUUAAUCGGAAUUACUGGGCGUAAAGGGUGCGCAGGCGGUACGUUAAGUCAGAUGUGAAAUCCCCGGGCUCAACCUGGGAAUGGCAUUUGAAACUGGCGUGCUAGAGUGAAUCAGAGGGGGGUAGAAUUCCACGUGUAGCAGUGAAAUGCGUAGAGAUGUGGAGGAACACCGAUGGCGAAGGCAGCCCCCUGGGAAAUCACUGACGCUCAAGCACGAAAGCGUGAGGAGCAAACAGG
rnacentral:rRNA from 1 species